rnacentral:lncRNA from 1 species
CAUGAACGAAAAUGCAAUUCAUGGGGCUCCGAAGAAAGAUUGAGAAUGGAGAAUUGCAUUAAGCAAUCACUACGCAUGGCUCCAACUCGUGGUUGGAGGACGCAUGAACGAAAACGCAAUUCAUGGGGCUCCGAAAAAGGGUUGAGAAUGGAGAAUUGCACUAAGCAAUCACUACGCAUGGCUCCAAACUCGUGGGUGGAGGACGCAUGAACGAAAAUGCAAUUCAUGGGGCUCCGAAGAAAGAUUGAGAAUGGAGAAUUGCACUAAGCAAUUACUACGCAUGGCUCCAAAUUCGUGGGUGGAGGACGCAUGAACGAAAACGCAAUUCAUGGGGCUCCGAAAAAAGAUUGAGAAUGGAGAAUUGCACUAAGCAAUCACUACGCAUGGCUCCAAACUCGUGGGUGGAGGACGCAUGAACGAAAACGCAAUUCAUGGGGCUCCGAAAGAAGAUUGAGAAUGGAGAAUUGCACUAAGCUACC